rnacentral:rRNA from 1 species
GAUGAACGCUGGCGGCGUGCCUAAUACAUGCAAGUCGAGCGAACAGAUGAGGAGCUUGCUCCUCUGACGUUAGCGGCGGACGGGUGAGUAACACGUGGAUAACCUACCUAUAAGACUGGGAUAACUUCGGGAAACCGGAGCUAAUACCGGAUAAUAUAUUGAACCGCAUGGUUCAAUAGUGAAAGACGGUUUUGCUGUCACUUAUAGAUGGAUCCGCGCCGCAUUAGCUAGUUGGUAAGGUAACGGCUUACCAAGGCAACGAUGCGUAGCCGACCUGAGAGGGUGAUCGGCCACACUGGAACUGAGACACGGUCCAGACUCCUACGGGAGGCAGCAGUAGGGGAUCUUCCGCAAUGGGCGAAAGCCUGACGGAGCAACGCCGCGUGAGUGAUGAAGGUCUUCGGAUCGUAAAACUCUGUUAUUAGGGAAGAACAAAUGUGUAAGUAACUAUGCACGUCCUGACGGUACCUAAUCAGAAAGCCACGGCUAACUACGU